AACCACAAUCAAGGACUGCUGAGAACAACAGCUUGCUUAAAGGAGGACGCACUUUGGUUAUCCCUGCUGGAGGUCUCUGGGCAGCAGGAAUGUCAGGAAUGCCCGUAAACAGAUGACAUCAGGGUUCCCCUGCUUUCUGCGUGUGGCUGUGGUUGUGAUGGUGGUCUGGACUGCCAACGCUGCCCGUGCUGGAGGUGCUACUUCCAUCCCCGACAUCUCGGAGAGUGCUGGAUCCACCGUUCA